rnacentral:SRP_RNA from 1 species
GCUGAGUUGGAUAGCGCCAACUUGUGACCCAAGUGGGAGCACCAAAGUGAUGGAACGUGGCUACGGCUUGUUUGGCUGGUCUGUUAGCUGCAAUAUGCUGGCCUGCCCGCUCCAAGUUGAGAGUUGUGCCACGGGACAUGGGUGAAGGUCUCUGUCUCUUGGUCCCUAGACGAGGGGGAAUUGCGUGAGGCUGGUUUCACAGAGCAGCGAAUACCUCUGGCUC